rnacentral:snoRNA from 15 species
AAGACUAUACUUCACAGGAUCAUUUCUGUAGUCAGUCUUCACAUACUUUCACACUAGCUGAAAGCCAAGUGCACCCGCGUUGAUGAGUUGAAUCGUUCUGUCCGGCAGCGUGAGGAUUUGCCCAGCACCCUUGUGGGAUGCACUGCAUCCUUAGCGGGGAGCGGGGCUUCGAUGAUCGCUCGGUUUGAACGGAUAGAGCGAAUUCUGAGUGGU